AUUUGGACGAGUCUGUGUCCUUUAUCACUGUAUUUAUAAUGAUUGUGGGUGCUUGACUUAAUAUUUCUGUUUUUCCCAUAUUCAUUAUUAGUCCUGCCUGUUAAUCAUUUAAGGAUACCAGUAGUACUCCUAAUUCCUCUAGGUCAUAUGUCCAAAAAACUAUAUCAUCUGCAAAAAGCAUAAUGUCUCCUAUAAUGAUAAUUCUUUAAUGUUCUUUAUAAUCAAGUACCCUUUCCUGUUUGACACCCGUUGUUACACUAAACCAUAAUCAUUUUUGUAUCCAGUCCUUACAUUAUUUACACAUGGUUCAUAUGUGCUCUUUAUUGCAGUUCCAUACACCUCUCCCAAACAUCUCCAUAAUUUGUUUAAGUACAGAAUCAAAUGCUUUUUCUAGGUCAAUAAUAGCUAUAUAGUGACCUAUUGUAUUUCCAUGAUUUUUUUAUGACAAGUCUCAGGGUAAAUAUGAGAUCCUUUUUGUAUCUAGGUAUAUUGUUCUUCACCUGAGGUUCAAUGAUAUGACAUGAUCGCUUUUCUAAAAUUCAAAGUUUUGCUCCAUGGCAUAAGAGUAGUAUACCUCUAUAGUUUUCACGCUUACCUGAAUCACCUUCAUAGUUUUUGCAAUUAAAUGAAUCGCCUUCCCCUUUAUAAAUUGACACAAAUGUCUUCCCCAAUAUUCAGUAACUUACUCUCUGGCCAGAAAGAUAGAAUUAAGUCAUAUAGUAUCUGCUCUGCCAGGUCCCCUCCCUCUUUAAACAACUCAGUUGGUAUAUUAUAUGCAGGGCUUUUUCCCUUUAUCUCUCUCAAGGUAUUAUUAAACUCUUGAUGUGAAAUCACAUCUGUGUUUUCCCUUACAAAUUGAAAAAUGUUAAUUUCUCUCAUCCGAUGUUAUGUUAAGUUGCUGAAAUAGUUGGUCCAUUUUUUGUUAAGAUAUUGAUCAGUGGCAAUGAUGUUUCCAUAUUCGUAUAUACUGUUUUGUUUUAUGCUUCUUGUACGGUUUUGCAACUGGAAAUAUCUUUUUCUUAUUCUUAAAAUCCUCCAUCAAUUCACUUCAUAGUUCUAUCCAUGCAAUUACCUGCUAUCUUCUCCAUUUCUCCUGUUUGACUUCCAGAGGAUACAUAUUCUUCAUUAGUCUACUGGUUUCUUUGUUUCAUCCAUUUUGUGUGUUAUUUUUGAAUUUCACUGCUCCCUUUACAUCUUCAUUGCAUAAAACUUUUCACUUUUUCCUAGUGCCUCCCACAUAUUUACAGCCAAGUUCUUCUCCCCAACUUCCAAGGCGCUUUUAGUUUCACAUUCUGUUGCUCCAAUUGCUGUAGUUAGUUUUCUGAGCUCUUACAGAAGGAAUGCUAAUUUUUCCUAUCACCAAUCUAUGAUCUGAGUGAAGCGAAACUCCUGGCAACACUUUUUAUAUUUUGUACGAGCCUUUUAUCUGAUGUGAGCACAGUCAAUUACUGAUCUCUGAGCAAACUACCCCGUUGUUUGAUUCCAUUGAUAUCUUGUAUAUCUGUGCAAAUCCUGAUGUUUGAAGAAGCCAUUCCUGAUUUUUAAAUUAUUUCAGGCAGAAAUCUGUUAGGUUUUCGCCUUCAUUAUUUCUUGUUUCUUCUCAGAAUGGACCUAUUACAUUUUCUAUUCCUACUCUGGCAUUUACAUCCCCCAGCAUUAAAAUGCCCUCAGUUUGUUCUUCCAGAGUAAAUCAAAAGCUCCAAGAAGUUAUAUUUCUCUUCUUGUGUGUGGCCUUCUUGUGGGGCAUAUAUCUGAUGUACAUUGUUUUUUAUUCUUUAUCCUAAUUGUGCAACUCUGAAGUCUUUCAGUCUACUAUUUUUCAGUCUGGGGCCUACAAUCAUAGCAACAUCAUGUUUUCUAAUUCCAGCAUCUACUCCACAAUAGAUCAGUGAUGGUACUGCUUGCAAAUUCUUGAAAUAAUUAGUGUAUAUUGAGAUGAAUAAUACAGAAGUUGGCUAGUACUAUAACCAAGGUGUCUCAGUGGUGGAAUAUCUUCAGCACUUACUACAGCCAUUUAGUUAUCAGUGUCGGAGCAGACUUGGAGCUGCUCUCACAGCUGACCACUGAUUUUCCUUAUGUAUUCAUGUUUUCUCUGUUGAAGAAUGUUAGACCAUUUCAAGUGUAAAAGACUUACAUUUUUUUAUAGGGAAUCCCAAAGAGGGUGAGGUAAGGUUGUAACUGAGAAAGCACUUUCAUUCACACACUUUAGGUCUUUUUCAUAUACACACAGCGUAUAUUUCAGUGUAUAAG